rnacentral:rRNA from 1 species
GACGAACGCUGGCGGCGUGCUUAACACAUGCAAGUCGAGCGGUAAGGCCCUUUCGGGGGUACGACGAGCGGCGAACGGGUGGAGUAACACGUGGGUGACCUGCCCUUACGCUCUGGGAUAAGCCUGGGAAACGUAGGGUCUAAUACCGGAUAUGACUCCAUGACGCAUGUUGUGGGGUGGAAAGCCUUGCGCGGCUAGGGAUGGGCCUGCGGCCUAUCAGCUUGUUGGUGGGGUGAGGCCUACCAAGGCGACGACGGGUAGCCGGCCUGAGAGGGCGACCGGCCACACUGGGACUGAGACACGGCCCAGACUCCUACGGGAGGCAGCAGUGGGGAAUCUUGCGCAAUGGGCGAAAGCCUGACGCAGCGACGCCGCGUGGGGAUGACGGCCU